rnacentral:rRNA from 1 species
AGAGUUUGAUCCUGGCUCAGAGCGAACGCUGGCGGCAUGCUUAACACAUGCAAGUCGCACGGUCGGAGCAAUCCGGCAGUGGCGGACGGGUGAGUAACGCGUAGGUAUCUAUCCAAGGGUGGGGGAUAACGCCGGGAAACUGGUGCUAAUACCGCAUGAUGACUGAGGUCCAAAGGUCGCAAGACCGCCUAUGGAGGAGCCUGCGUCCGAUUAGCUUGUUGGUGGGGUAAUGGCCUACCAAGGCAUUGAUCGGUAGCUGGUCUGAGAGGAUGAUCAGCCCCACUGGACUGAGACACGGCCCAGACUCCUACGGGAGGCAGCAGUGGGGAAUAUUGGACAAUGGGCGAAAGCCUGAUCCAGCAAUGCCGCGUGGAUGAAGAAGGUCUUCGGAUUG